rnacentral:sRNA from 1 species
GACUCGAGCGCCAGCGAGAAAGCGUUGCCGCAGGCAACGACCCGAAGGGUGAAGCGCGCAGCGCUGAGUAAUCCUUCCCCCACCACCA